rnacentral:rRNA from 1 species
AAGUAGAACGCUGAAGAGAGGAGCUUGCUCUUCUUGGAUGAGUUGCGAACGGGUGAGUAACGCGUAGGUAACCUGCCUUGUAGCGGGGGAUAACUAUUGGAAACGAUAGCUAAUACCGCAUAACAAUGGAUGACUCAUGUCAUUUAUUUGAAAGGGGCAAUUGCUCCACUACAAGAUGGACCUGCGUUGUAUUAGCUAGUAGGUGAGGUAACGGCUCACCUAGGCGACGAUACAUAGCCGACCUGAGAGGGUGAUCGGCCACACUGGGACUGAGACACGGCCCAGACUCCUACGGGAGGCAGCAGUAGGGAAUCUUCGGCAAUGGGGGCAACCCUGACCGAGCAACGCCGCGUGAGUGAAGAAGGUUUUCGGAUCGUAAAGCUCUGUUGUAAGUCAAGAACGAGUGUGAGAGUGGAAAGUUCACACUGUGACGGUAGCUUACCAGAAAGGGACGGCUAACUACGUGCCAGCAGCCGCGGUAAUACGUAGGUCCCGAGCGUUGUCCGGAUUUAUUGGGCGUAAAGCGAGCGCAGGCGGUUUGAUAAGUCUGAAGUUAAAGGCUGUGGCUCAACCAUAGUUCGCUUUGGAAACUGUCAAACUUGAGUGCAGAAGGGGAGAGUGGAAUUCCAUGUGUAGCGGUGAAAUGCGUAGAUAUAUGGAGGAACACCGGUGGCGAAAGCGGCUCUCUGGUCUGUAACUGACGCUGAGGCUCGAAAGCGUGGGGAGCGAACAGGAUUAGAUACCCUGGUAGUCCACGCCGUAAACGAUGAGUGCUAGGUGUUGGAUCCUUUCCGGGAUUCAGUGCCGCAGCUAACGCAUUAAGCACUCCGCCUGGGGAGUACGACCGCAAGGGUUGAAACUCAAAGGAAUUGACGGGGGCCCGCACAAGCGGUGGAGCAUGUGGUUUAA